UACGGAGGGGGCUAGCGUUGUUCGGAAUUACUGGGCGUAAAGCGCACGUAGGCGGCUUUGUAAGUUAGAGGUGAAAGCCCAGGGCUUAACCCUGGAAUUGCCUUUAAGACUGCAUCGCUAGAAUUGUGGAGAGGUAAGUGGAAUUCCGAGUGUAGAGGUGAAAUUCGUAGAUAUUCGGAAGAACACCAGUGGCGAAGGCGACUUACUGGACACAUAUUGACGCUGAGGUGCGAAAGCGUGGGGAGCGAACAGGA
rnacentral:rRNA from 1 species